GGAGAGGUGGCUGAGUGGUUGAAAGCGGCGGUCUCGAAAACCGUUGUAGGGGCAACUCUAUCGAGGGUUCGAAUCCCUCCUUCUCCG
rnacentral:tRNA from 1 species